rnacentral:rRNA from 1 species
GAUUAUGGCUCAGGAUGAACGCUAGCUACAGGCUUAACACAUGCAAGUCGAGGGCAGCAUGGGGUAGCAAUACUCAGAUGGCGACCGGCGCACGGGUGAGUAACACGUAUCCAACCUGCCGCUUACUCGGGGAUAGCCUUUCGAAAGAAAGAUUAAUACCCGAUGGUAUAAAGAGUUCGCAUGUUCUCUUUAUUAAAGAAUUUCGGUAAGCGAUGGGGAUGCGUUCCAUUAGAUAGUUGGCGGGGUAACGGCCCACCAAGUCUACGAUGGAUAGGGGUUCUGAGAGGAAGGUCCCCCACAUUGGAACUGAGACACGGUCCAAACUCCUACGGGAGGCAGCAGUGAGGAAUAUUGGUCAAUGGACGAGAGUCUGAACCAGCCAAAAGUAGCGUGAAGGAUGACUGCCCUAUGGGUUGUAAACUUCUUUUAUAAGGGAAUAAAGUGAGGGACGUGUCCCUUUUUGUAUGUACCUUAUGAAUAAGGAUCGGCUAACUCCGUGCCAGCCGCCGC